CACCUCGAGUGCCAAGUUCGUCCUCCCACGCAAAGGACGGUCCGCUCUCGAACCCUGUCGCCGCAUCCCCCGCACUCCAUCGUCGCAGUUACCGUUGGAAGUUCUGUACCAACCCCCGUUGCUGGUGCCACCGUUUGUCCCGCAGCCACAGCGCAUACUUCAGCGGCGACGUCCUCCACCUCCGUCUGAAAUAGAAGGUCGGUUCCGUUCGUACGAUAACAACUCCGACAUCGAGUCCGUCCCACACGUUGCGCUCGCUCGCGGUGCACACCCUGCACGUGUUGUACCAUCGGGGCUGGACAGAAAAAAAAGGUAGAAACACCGUUCGGCAAGCCAGGGAAAUUCCGACAGGAUUCUCUGCUCUCUGAAAACAUAUUCAUCCCGAUCCCGGAUCGUCGAUCGAAGGCGAUUCUUCGUGAUUUCGGGGUCUAAGAACACUAAAGAUUAUAGUCUCUGCUGAAGAUUUGGACGAUUCAAAAAACGCCAUUGCAAUUCGGUAUUCGGCCAUCGGAGCAUCUCGUACGUGAAUCCUUCUUUUUCGAAGCAACGGCAGUACGGCCGCAGCAGCCGAAGCGUCGUCGUGCGUCGUCAGAAGCGACAUCGAUGCUAGCGCGUACAUCCUUGCAGAAGAAAAAAAAGAUGCCGGAGAGGUGGGAGAAAGGAAAAUAAAUACAUUGCGGUGAGGAUUAGUACGCAGUUACUGCUGAGCCAUAGUUCCUUAGUUGUCGAAGUUUCUCCGGUCGCGUUUUACAUAUACCAAAAAGAGAAAUCAUACGAAUUUGUCACGUGUUGGGUGCAGUACCCAGUUUUUAAUGAGUAAUAUUAACUCAGGAAGUGGUGUACAGUUGGAUAUAUAUUUUUUGAAAAGGUGCUUAGCAAUCAGUAUCUAAUAAAAGACCUAUAUCGUUGAAAAUUUUGUGAAUUCCGUGACUGAUUGUGAGAAAUUUUUCCAUAAGCAGUAGUGAGAACUUUUUUUUACCGAGUUCGUCUCGAAGAAUUUGAAGUGGAGAAUUAUACUUCACAAACGCCGGAGUUGCCUGGUUCUUUGCGAUACGGAUCCAUUUUCAAAUACCAUACCUACGCUGUGCUGAAAAAUUCGUCUGAAGGACGCAGUUCCUUCAAC